CCUACGGGAGGCAGCAGUGAGGAAUAUUGGUCAAUGGCCGGAAGGCUGAACCAGCCAUGCCGCGUGAAGGUCAGUGCCCUAUGGGCGUUAAACUUCUUUUGUGCGGGAGCAAUAAUGGUCACGUGUGGCCAGACGAGAGUACCGUACGAAUAAGCAUCGGCUAACUCCGUGCCAGCAGCCGCGGUAAUAAGGGGGAUGCAAGCGUUGUCCGGAUUUAUUGGGGUUAAAGGGUGCGUAGGCUGUGAGGUAAGUCAGCGGUGAAAUGCCCCCGCUCAACGGGGUGAAGUGCCAUUGAUACUGGCUUGCUGGAAUGCGGAUGCCGUGGGAGGAAUGUGUGGUGUAGCGGUGAAAUGCAUAGAUAUCACACAGAACACCGAUUGCGAAGGCAUCUCACGAAUCCGCGAUUGACGCUGAUGCACGAAAGCGUGGGUAUCAAACAGGAUUAGAUACCCUGGUAGUC
rnacentral:rRNA from 1 species